UACAGAGGGUGCAAGCGUUACUCGGAAUUACUGGGCGUAAAGCGUGCGUAGACGGUUACAUAAGUCGGGUGUGAAAGCCCCGGGCUCAACCUGGGAAUUGCAGUGGAUACUGGCGAGCUAGAGUGCGGUAGAGGAUGGUGGAAUUCCCGGUGUAGCGGUGAAAUGCGCAGAUAUCAGGAGGAACACCGGUGGCGAAGGCGGUUCUCUGGGCCUGUACUGACGCUGAGGAGCGAAAGCGUGGGGAGCAAACAGG
rnacentral:rRNA from 1 species